AUUCCAUGAUGGGGACAUUCUAGGAUGUAGUCUUGGAAGCGCUCCCAUGCCUCUGGAACGGAUUCAUCAUGUUGUUGCUGAAAACUUGUAAUCUUCCCACGGAGAGC
rnacentral:snoRNA from 1 species